UCGAACGGAAGGUGUUUCAAGAGAGAGAGUUUCCUCCUGAGAGUUUAUAACCUAAUAUGUAAAUAUUACAACGCUCAUACCUUUCAAUGUUGUCAUGUAUAUUUAAUACAACAUACAAUAUAAUAUCCUGACAAAGAGUAUAAAUACAUCAAAUAAUUAUCGCAGCAAGAGAAUUCGAAUUCAAACUUCUGAUAAAAACCGCCUAAUAGAAGAUUCUCAGGUAACUUAUAAGAGUCACGCAGCCAGCAUAGGAUGAGUGGCGAGGCAGCACUCCAAAAAUACACUCAAAGACCUAUGACUUUGAGACGGUCGUAAAACAUUAUUGCAUGGCAUAUCAGCAACAAGAUUAAAUUACGACAAUCCUGAACACAGCCACCAAGAUCACUACCAUCAGUUCACCGUCAUAUAUAUUAUAUGUAGCGAAGCAGCGCACUAAGAAUACUCUUGAGGACCUAUGGCUUCAUCAGGAGAGCAAUACCGCAUGAUCCAUGACAAACAGGAUUACAAAUGAUCCUGGACACAGCCAUCGAAUAAACCUCCAUUAACAGAUUCACUGUCAAGUACAGACAAGAAACAAAAUCAAGAUGAGCCAAAUAACUGUCUAAGUCAAGGAAGGAAUUCAUUUCUCAUCAAAAACUACUUCAAAAAGAUCCCUGGAUAACUCAUAGGAAUCACACGACCAGUGUCAGUUAAGUAGUUAUAAUAUAGUAAUAAUAUAACAAAUUAUAUUAUCAUUUGUUACUUAUGUCACUCCGUAUAUUAACAAAUCACACUUAAAAUACACUUAGAGACCUAUGGCUACAAGGCGAUCGAGAAGUCACUACCGCAUAACAAACAGCAGGACUACCUUGCAACAAUCUUCAACGCAACCAUCGUAUAGACCACCGUCUUCAGUUCACUGUCA